AUGCUCUCUCAAGGUUUCAAAAGGUCUAAUUAUGAUAGUUGUGUUUAUUUGAAAACUGUCAAAGGUUCAACUAUUUAUUUGCUCCUUUAUGUUGAUGAUAUGCUUAUUGCUGCAAAGAGUAUGUCAGAGAUUAAUGAACUAAAGAAGCAAUUGAGUAAUGAAUUUGAGAUGAAGGAUUUGGGUGCAGCAAAGAAAAUACUUGGCAUGGAAAUAUCCAGAGAUAGACCGUCUGGAAAAGUAUAUCUAAGUCAGAAGGGAUAUAUUGAUAAAGUUCUUCUUCGUUUUAAUAUGCAUAAUGCCAAGCCAGUAAGUACUCCGUUAGCUGCACACUUCAAAUUAUCAUCAGCUUUAUGUCCUAAGUCAGAUGCAGAUAUUGAGUACAUGUCUAGAGUUCCCUAUUCGAGUGCAGUUGGUUCACUUAUGUAUGCCAUGGUUUGUUCUCGUCCUGAUUUAUCAUAUGCAUUGAGUGUUGUCAGUAGAUACAUGGCUAAUCCUGGAAAAGAGCAUUGGAGAGCAGUUCAGUGGAUUUUCAGAUACCUGCGUGGUACUUCUAAUGCUUAUUUACAGUUUGGGAAAACUAGAGAUGGACUUGUUGGUUUUGUUGAUUCUGAUUUUGCUGGUGAUUUGGAUAAGAGAAGAUCACUCACAGGUUAUGUUUUCACCGUUGGUGGUUGUGCUGUGAGUUGGAGAGCAACUUUGCAGUCUAUUGUGGCUUGUUCCACUACUGAUGCCGAGUAUAUGGCUAUUUCUGAGUCAUGCAAAGAAGCUAUCUGA
rnacentral:rRNA from 1 species